rnacentral:lncRNA from 1 species
GGAAAUCAGAAAUCGAGGAGACAAAUUGCCUUUGCUUUUUUACUGCCAUGCUUGCUGGUCUAUAGCAAGGAAGGUUUGUCAAAGCCUCACUUGUGUAUCUCAUUGCAACAUGAUGCUGUGACCAGAGACAACAGGAGGCUUUCUGUUCACCAGUUCUUAGUUCUUUUGCACAAAAUCAACAAUACUCAAAAGAAGUCAUCUACUUCUAGAUGCAAAGAGACUGGGCUCCAUUCAGGCAUAUUAUUCACAUAUUUACUGCAAAAAGAGAUGGAAGAAAAGAAGCUCUGCACCUGGCACAGGGACCAGUAUGGCUGCCUGGAAAAUAAUUUGCUUGUUUCAUCCCCAGCCCAAAUUGCUCCUCUGUUCAUUUUGCUGACAGUGUUAAGAAAGUUGAGUCCAGCUACAGCCUCUGAUUAGGACUGUUAAUGGAACCACUUAUUUCCCAAGGCCAUUUCUAUGCUUUGUUUAUAGUAUAAUCUUAUCUAUACAACCUACCAUUGCAUUUCCCUAAACUUAGCAUGCCCAUGCCACAUGGAACUUAGGCUGGGCCAAAAUAUUAUUUUCAGAGAGCCAACAUGUAGGCAACUUGUGAUCACGUGCUUCCAAAUGAACUGCUCCAAAGGGCUCCUGGGAGCCUCACUGAGUAUACAAGGAAUUUUGGCUGAUAAUCCAAGCAGCUAGCAGAGAGGACAGAAAUCGGCCAGAGGUGACAGCAACACAUUUCACAACCAAACGUCAGUAAGUCCAGAGCUCACUUACAUCACCUGAAAGUUCCACUGACUGCAUCAAGACUCAAUCCGUUUCCAAAGGGCACAGCACAAAUGGCAAACCAUUUUGUGCUUGCUAUUUGGAUACUUUCCUCUGAACCCUGGUCAUAGGAACCGGAGACAACCUGCUGCAACAGCAUUAACCAAGCAUUCAAUCUCAGAAGAUUCAGACACCACUUACAGGGUAGUUUAGAAUUCCAGAAGAAGGAAGUGCAGCAGAGGAGCAGCUCUUUGUAGAGAUUAUAUUAUCUCUAUCUGUCAUGAUGUUCCAGAUGUGGUUCUUACAAUUCUACUGGGAAAGGAGGAAUCCUAAAAGGACGCGGAGCUGUGGAGAGGCACACGAGCAGCGGGAGAACGCGCUGAGGGGACAGCAGCGAUCCCUGAGGAGACAGCGCAGCCCUCGCGCACAGCCACUGCCACACUCCCCUCAGGGAACAGCCUGAAGCGAGGUGUCCACCCGCCCCAUCCCUCAGCCCGACCCCGGCCCCUCUCGCCGCCCGGCUCCGACCUGUUGCCGGCCCGGAACGCCGCGUUCCCUUCCGCCGCCGCCUCCCGCCCCUUCCGCCCUUCUGCCCGUCCUGUCUCUGCCCGCCACCCUUACGCAGUUUCCGUAUGGACAGCGCCGGGCGGCCCUCUGCUCUCCUUACGCCGAUAGCGUAGCAGGGAGCGUAGCUUACGAAGGGCGGGAAGGAAGCGCGCUGCGCUGAGGCGGCGUCUCACCUGAGGUGAUGGCGGGCGCCCGCCUGAGGUGAUGGCUUACCUGCGCUGUCGGCCGGCCUUCUGGGGCUGGGGAGGAAGCAGCAAGGCCAGCUGCUGCUUGAUACUUUAAAUCAGUCGAUGAGGAAAGUCUCUAAGACUCAAGUUGGAGUGUUAGAAAGCAGGCAUUCUUUAAUAGCAGCGCUGGAUGCAUGGGGGUCAUCCUCCUAUAACGCACAGCUUCCACAAUGGAUCUUCAGCUCAUACACAUUACUCGUGUUACGUAUGCAGGAGUUUCGCAGCUGUACGUUACAUAUGCAGCAACCAGUUCCAAGCAGGACCUCCUAUUUCCCUGGCACAAACACUCAGCAGAACUUCCUUAUCUCCUCGGCCCGGAGACACAGCUCUUGCUGUUACCUAAACAAACUGCAGAAUGAUCCAUCAGCAAACACUGGCAUCCAUAACCCAGACUUAUGGGUGCAAUCAGCUUGGCAGGCUCUGCUCAGCGCUGGUUAAUUAGCCUUGUAGAAAUCCUAGGGUUGUGCCAAGACUGUGGCGUUAAUUCAGCUCCCUGAGCAUAAGGCUGUUGCGUUGGUUUUAUGGGUUUUGGUCAAUAUUCUUGCUCCAGUGGUGGACUGGGGCAAGCACAGUGCUUGGGGAUCCUUGGUAGAAUCUGCUUUUUCAGGAGGAAGGAAGCAGCUUUGCUGGAUGAUAACGUUUUGUGAAAGUGAACCUAGUUUGGGCUGCUUUGUAACUGAUGUAUACAUAAAAAUACUGCUGCUUGAGUCUUCUAAAACAACAUAUGGAGACGCCUGUUCUGUUGAAAAGCCAGGUUUGAUUUGGCCGAAUAUCCUUGUCCUGCUUGCUUGCUGCUAACACUACACCUUCAGGUUUGCUCUCACAAGAACUCAUAUCACCCCUCUGGUUUUUGGGCAUCAUCAUGCACUUAAGUGUGACGAGAGGUUCAGAAGGCUCCAUGAUCCCAGCUGGGGUGCAAAAACAGACCCAGGCAACUGCACAAUGGACAAGCUGCAUGUGGUUCACAACCAGCAGAAAGCCAUCUGGACACAAACCUGUGCUCUCAGACCCAAAUCUGCAGAUUUGUUUCUUGUAGACUUGACGGCACUGUGAGGAUUGAAAGUUCUCCUGCAGUUAACAGCAGUUUGGAACACCUGGUCCAGGGUUCUGUCUACACUGUCCACGAUACUUGAAUAUUACUGUUGGGUCUCAUCACGCUCUUAAUGUCUCAAUGGCAUUCCGUCCUUAUAAAACGCAGUUCUGGGAUAUUUGUGCAGUAUGUCAGCCACCACCUUGGCCCAUUUCUCACCAUGAACUACUUCUGUGCUACAAUAUGUAAUUUAAUCACUAUGUGAAAUCAGGACCCACCUAGCUACUGUAAGCAAGGCAGGGUAAUUUGGAACUGAAACUUGAUUGCCACUCAGAUUGGUAUGAAGGAGAACUGCAUGCAAACAAAUCCUUUUAUGU